UACAAUCAGAUUUUUGAAGCUUUUUACAAUGAAUUUCAGAUCUGAUUUUCAGAUCUCAAUAUGAAAAACAAUGAAGGCUAUAGAUCUGAAAAGUUAGAGGAUACCCUUGAGAUCGACCUUCCGUGGAUUUGGACUGAAGCCUAUUACCCGACGAUCUCCGUUGAAGCCUCUCAAUGAAAGCACCAGUGUUGGGAACCCGGGGGUUGCGGUCCCGAUCCCCGGCCCAAGCGUCCGAAGGUUGAAGAUGGUGUUGGCGGUUUGCCUUGGGACCGACUUGUUGGUGGGUAUCACUCCUCCUUCUUGUUGCCGUGGAACCACGCCGUGUGCUUGCCUUCGGGCUGCCGGCGGUGGGAAGAAAUCAAGGUGGGGCUCAAUGUUGAAAGGAAGAUGAUUUCAUUCCACUAAACAACGGAUUACAAAAGACUUUGGCAAAGGUCGGGAAGGGACCUUGCACUGCCUACAAACAACCUAGGGGGGCUGAUGUUCCCCGCCCUAGUCCCAAGCCUUUCGGCCGACAAAACAAAGGGGUACAACCCUUGACACUUUGGUGGAAAAAUCAAAUACUAGAAGAUGAUUGCCAAAGGGCCCUAAUGGCUCCUUUUAAUGGCCGACGGCCUUGGCUUAUUUUGGACUAAAUUCAAAUGAUGGAAGUCUUCCUUUUCGGCCGCAAUGGCCUGACCUAACUUGGCCCUUGGCUAGGCCAUGUGCUGAAAUGUGUUGGGCGCUCGGGAUUUGCUGCUGGCUUGGCUUGUGCAUGUGGCGCCUGCUGAUGCUGCCAUCUGCCCGUGCGCAGCCUGAUUUGGUUGCUGUGCCGGGCGGCUGGGCUGUGCUUCCUGUUGUGCCGAGCUUUGCUGCCUGGUUUGCCAUGCCUUGCUGCUUUGGCUCGAGCUCCCUUGGAUCGCUGGCGUGUCAUCCUUG
rnacentral:lncRNA from 1 species